UACGUAGGGGCAAGCGUUGUCCGGAUUUAUUGGGCGUAAAGAGCGUGUAGGCGGUUUGGUAGGUCCGCUGUGAAAACUCGAGGCUCAACCUCGAGACGCCGGUGGAAACCAUCAGGCUAGAGUCCGGAAGAGGAGAGUGGAAUUCCUGGUGUAGCGGUGAAAUGCGCAGAUAUCAGGAAGAGCACCCGUGGCUAAGGCGGCUCUCUAGUACGGUACUGACGCUGAGACGCGAAAGCGUGGGGAGCGAACAGG
rnacentral:rRNA from 1 species